rnacentral:rRNA from 1 species
GACGAACGCUGGCGGCGUGCUUAACACAUGCAAGUCGAACGGUAAGGCCCUUCGGGGUACACGAGUGGCGAACGGGUGAGUAACACGUGGGUGAUCUGCCCUGCACUUCGGGAUAAGCCUGGGAAACUGGGUCUAAUACCGGAUAGGACUCCUGCCUGCAUGGGUGGGGGUGGAAAGCUUUUGUGGUGUGGGAUGGGCCCGCGGCCUAUCAGCUUGUUGGUGGGGUGAUGGCCUACCAAGGCGACGACGGGUAGCCGGCCUGAGAGGGUGACCGGCCACACUGGGACUGGGAGACGGCCCAGACUCCUACGGGAGGCAGAAGUGGGGAAUAUUGGACAAUGGGCGCAAGCCUGAUGCAGCGACGCCGCGUGAGGGAUGACGGCCUUCGGGUUGUAAACCUCUUUCAGCACAGGCGAAGCGCAAGUGACGGUAUGUGCAGAAGAAGGACCGGCCAACUACGUGCCAGCAGCCGCCGUAA